CAUAUUUAUUUUUCUACAAGUUUUCCAAAAAACGUAGAGGAAAUCAUGUCGAGAAAAAUGGCAAAAAUGGAGAUUACGUCAUGCAUGUUUCUGGUUUUGAUGACCACCAAUAUCAGGGUAUUGACGGAAAUGCUAGAAAAACUACACACCAAGAGAACAA